AAGUAUAUGCAUAUUUUAUAUGUAGAAACUGCGAACGGCUCAUUAAAACAGUUAUAAUCUACUUGACAUUUUUUCUAUAAGGAUAACUACGGAAAAGCUGUAGCUAAUACUUGCUUUAGCACUCUUGAUUAAGUUCUUGGGUGUGUACUUGUUAAGCCUUUUAAGAAAAAAGUUAUUAACUAAAGGAAUUAUAACAAAGAAGUAACACGUAAUGGAUCCGUCCAUUUUUAGUGUGUAUCAAUCGAGUUUCUGACCUAUCAGCUUUUGAUGUUAGGGUAUUGGCCUAACAUGGCUAUGACGGGUAACGGGGAAUUAGAGUUCGAUUCCGGAGAGGGAGCCUGAGAAAUAGCUACCACAUCUAAGGAAGGCAGCAGGCGCGUAAAUUACCCAAUUCUAAAGAAGAGAGGUAGUGACAAGAAAUAACAAUACAAGGCCAAUCUGGCUUUGUAAUUGGAAUGAUGGGAAUUUAAAACCUUCCCAAAACUCAAUUGGAGGGCAAGUCUGGUGCCAGCAGCCGCGGUAAUUCCAGCUCCAAUAGCGUAUAUUAAAAUUGUUGCAGUUAAAACGCUCGUAGUUGAAUUUCAAAGAAUCGAUAUUUUAAGUAACGCUUUUAGCUUAAUCCACAUAACUGAUACUACGUAUCGACUUUGUGCGCAUUUAGCUAUUACGUGUUCUUUUAAUUAAAAUGAUUCUUUUUAAGGUUUUCAUUUGUUUCGGCAAUUGAAAAUCUUGUUACUUUGAGUAAAUUAGAGUGUUCAAAGCAAACAGAUAUAGCAUUGCGCGUUUGAAUACUACAGCAUGGAAUAACAAAAUUGAACAAGUCAGAAUUUUGUUCUUUUUUCUUAUUUUGGCUUAGUUACGAUUAAUAGGAGUAGCUUGGGGGCAUUUGUAUUCAGAUGUCAGAGGUGAAAUUCUUAGAUUUUCUGGAGACAAACAACUGCGAAAGCAUUUGCCUAAAAUACUUCCAUUAAUCAAGAACGAAAGUUAAGGGAGUGAAGACGAUCAGAUACCGUCGUAAUCUUAACCAUAAACUAUGCCGACUAGGCUUUGGAUGAAAGAUUUUAAAAUAGGAAUUUUUCUCUUCGGAGAUGAAUUCUUAGAUUGCUUCCUUCAGUGCCUUAUGAGAAAUCAAAGUCUUUGGGUUCUGGGGCGAGUAUUCGCGCAAGCGAGAAAGUUAAAAGAAUUGACGGAAGGGCACCACCAGGCGUGGAGCUUGCGGCUUAAUUUGACUCAACACGGGAAAACUCACUAGUUUAAGACAAGAGUAGGAUUGACAGAUUAAUAGCUCUUUCUUGAUUUCUUGGAUGGUGAUGCAUGGCCGUUUUUAGUUCGUGAAUAUGAUUUGUCUGGUUAAUUCCGAUAACGAACGAGAUCUUAACCUGCUAAUUAGCGGCAAAUACGAUAUAUUCUUAUGUGGGAUUGAAUACGGUUGAUUUGCUUAUUUUGAAGAGAAUAUUGGAAUGCGUAAAGUGUUCCUUUCCCUUCUCUACUUAAUUCGCUUAUCAUACUGUUUCUUUUUUGCGUAAGAAUGUAUUUGCUUGAUUGUAAAGCUUCUUAGAGGAACGAUGUGUGUCUAACACAAG
rnacentral:rRNA from 1 species